AUAAGCAGGUCUAAUGCCUUAGAGGCACCAGGUCCUCUCUGAUCUUUGAAACUAAGCAGGGACAGGCCUGGUUAGUACUUGGAUGGGAGUUAUUCAAUUAAUAUCUGGUGCUGUAGGCU
rnacentral:rRNA from 11 species